rnacentral:rRNA from 1 species
GGCGAAAGCCUGACGGAGCAAUGCCGCGUGAAGGAUGACACUCUAAGGAGCGUAAACUUCUUUUCUUAAGAAAGAUAAUGACGGUACUUAAGGAAUAAGCAUCGUCUAACUAUGUGCCAGCAGCCGCGGUAAU